AAAAAAAAAACAAUAAAGCCAAAAAAAAUAAACAAACUGAUCUAGAGAACCCAAAUCUGUUUUUAUGAAUAAUAGUGUUGCAGAACCCAAAAUAUAAAUCUUCGAUAUAUAGAAAUAAACAAUAGCUACUUGUUAGAGAAGAUGGGCUGGGACUACCGCUUUUUAGGUGCAAAUUUUUUUUAUUGUGGUUUAUUACUCAUGUGGUUUAUUAGGAAGUGAAUCAGGGGAUUUUUGAGGCUCCAGCGUUUUAUCUGCUAGGUGAAGAACUUUUUUUGUUGUGUUUAUUAUUCUUGUGGAUUAUUAAGAGGUAAUCAAGGGAUUUUUGGGUAGAGAGGUAAAUCAGGGGAUUUUUGGGUAGAGAGGUAAAUCAGGGGAUUUUUGGGUAAAGAGACAGUGAAAGAUUUGACUCGAUUAUUCACGUAAUAGAUUUUUACCUUUAGGCGUAAUUGAUUUUUUGGGAAAUCUUGCUUAAUCUUCUAAAAUGUUAUAUUUCUAAUCUAUUUUGAUGUAAUAGAUUUUCAGGUUCUCGGCCUCUAGACGAAAUGAGCACAACAGAAAAAGACACCUUUUGUAAUCAUAUCAUACAAACGUAAUAAAACUUUUUAAGAAAUAGG
rnacentral:lncRNA from 1 species